rnacentral:rRNA from 1 species
GGGGAAUAUUGCGCAAUGGGGGAAACCCUGACGCAGCAAUACCGCGUGAGUGAAGAAGGUUUUCGGAUCGUAAAGCUCUGUUAUUGGGGAAGAAAAAAAGACGGUACCCAAGAAGAAAGUCCCGGCUAACUACGUGCCAGCAGCCGCGGUAAUACGUAGGGGACAAGCGUUGUCCGGAUUUACUGGGCGUAAAGGGCACGCAGGCGGUUUUUUAAGUCAGAUGUGAAAACCCCGGGCUUAACUUGGGGACUGCAUUUGAAACUGGAUAUCUAGAGUGCAGGAGAGGAAAGCGGAAUUCCUAGUGUAGCGGUGAAAUGCGUAGAUAUUAGGAGGAACACCGGUGGCGAAGGCGGCUUGCUGGACAAAUACUGACGCUGAGGUGCGAAAGCGUGGGGAGCAAACA